rnacentral:rRNA from 1 species
AUUGAACGCUGGCGGCAGGCCUAACACAUGCAAGUCGAACGAGUGGCGGACGGGUGAGUAAUGUCUGGGAAACUGCCUGAUGGAGGGGGAUAACUACUGGAAACGGUAGCUAAUACCGCAUACCAUCAGAUGUGCCCAGAGGGGAUUAGCUUGUUGGGGGGGUAACGGCUCACCAAGGCGACGAUCCCUAGCUGGCCUGAGAGGAUGACCAACCCAAUUGGAAGGGAGAAACGGGCCAGACCCCUAGGGGAGGGAGCAGUGGGGAAUAUUGUACAAUGGGUGCAAGCCUGAUGCAGCCAUGCCGCGUGGAUGAAGAAGGCCUUCGGGUGGUAAAGUACUUUCAGCGGGGAGGCGUUACCCGCAGAAGAAGCACCGGCUAACUCCGUGCCAGCAGCCGCGGUAAUUC